UGUGGGUAGUGGCCGACACAUUGUGUAGCGAGUGUGAGAGGGUGCAAAGCUACGACUCUCAUUUUACGACCACCAUUGCCUUAUUUUUCAGACUAAUUGGCCACUGACAUUACUACUUGGUUAAAGGAGCCGUAAGAUAAAUAUGUCUGACCGUCCAAAGGAUUGGAAGCUAGAUUGUAAAGUAUAUGUUGGAGAACUUGGUUAUGGUGCAGCAAAACAAGAAUUAGAAGAUGUCUUUAGUCGUUAUGGACGUUUGAAAAAUGUGUGGGUUGCAAGAAACCCCCCUGGAUUUGCUUUUGUGGAGUUUGAAGAUCAUAGAGAUGCUGAAGAUGCUUGUAAAGCUUUAGACGGGACGCGAAUAAAUGGACGGCGAGUUAAAGUGGAGAUGUCAAGUGGAAAAUCCCGCUGGGGCAGUCGAGGUCCUCCUGUGCGGCGAGGGUAUGGGGGUUACAGCGGUGGAGGAUAUGGAGGCAGCAGGAGACGCUCUAGGUGUCUGCCUCACCUCAACACUGUCAUCAGACCAACUGAGUCAUCAUUAUCAACACUGUUCAACUUACAAUUAAUUGGCCACCUUGUUUGACCUCAUCUUAGCCCCAUCGGCCCAGCCACCUGUUGACCUGGUGCUGGUCAGUUAGCAGUCGGUCUUUCUACGCUCCCAGCGCCAAUACUCAACUGGCUCACAGCUCCAGCCUGAUAGCCUGAUAUAUCAGCGGUGACCCAUGUAGAGAGCUGCUCUGACAACUUCAGCUCAACCCCCAUCACCUUCUCUCAGUCAGCCUAGCCUCCGCUCCAAGUGACAGCCCUUCCCUCCUCUUCAGGUCGCUCACAGUCACCAACACAACACGCUGACCCAGACUUAAAGUCCAGUCUAAACACACCUGACAAAAUCUCCCAAUAGAACACUUACUGUCCAAUAGUUUAACAGCUUGGCGGGACAGGUCCAGGUCACCCCCAGUGAGGCGUCCCCGAAGUCGUAGUAGAAGCAGAUCCAAUUCUCCUGGAAAAUACGGCGGCUGGUCUGGAGAUAAGAGAAGAUAUUGAAGAGGAAGUUGAAGCUGAUCUGUUUAGAUACUACAGUGCAAAGCCCAGUCCUUGGGCUCCUGCAGGAGGGAGCAUUGUGCAUGGAACCGACAUGUUUUUAAACAGUCAACAUUUCAUUUACCAUUAUUGCAAAUUUUGUAGACACAUGCGUGAAUUCCUUUUAUUUGUUUUAUGCAGGAUUUUUUUUUUCUUUCGAUGUGUAAAGAAUUUUAUGAGGUAAAUGUAAACAUUCAUUUUACUUGUCUAGAUUUAUCAGUGUACUUUUCUGUAGUAUAAGUUGCCUUCAAAGUGAUCAGUUGUGGCAGCAUUACAUCUAUAUGGUGCAUAAACACAUGUCCGGAAUAUUAUUAUCGAAGCUACACAAUUAACUAAAGAAAUGAUUUAUUUACCUGUGGUAAUAUUAGUCUUGAAUAGCAUGGGAACUGGAACCAUUUUUAGCAAGUGUGGAAUUCUGACACAUGAAUUUGAUAUAUAUUACAAAUGUCAUUGGAGGUUGAAAUAACAAGAAUCAGGCUGCAAGUUUAAUUUUUUUUUUUUUGAGACAGCCUGCUACUUGUUCAUCAGCUUCAUUCAUUUCUUUUGCUAUUUCUUUCAUGUACCGAACACACUGUCACAUGUGGUGCCCUACAACAUUGUUACUUGUAUAUGUAUUUUUACCUGUUUGUUGGUUGUACAGUAGAUGGAUUCCAUUCAUAAACAGAGCGCAAGUAUCCUUAGGGGUACAGUUUCUGUCUGUUGUACUAAGGCUCAUGAUGUGAAAUAAAUAUAUGAAUUGUGUCUUUUAA